AUGAAGCCGGAAUUGCUAGUAAUGGCAGGUCAGCAUACUGCCGUGAAUACGUUCCCGGGCCUUGUACACACCGCCCGUCACACCAUGAGAGUUGGAAAUACCCGAAGCCUGUGAGCUAACUUAAGGGAGGCAGCAGUCGAAGGUAGAGCCAAUGAUUAGGGGUGAAGUCGUAACAAGGUACC
rnacentral:rRNA from 1 species